AAACAGUUCAGGAUCCAAGGGGUCGUCCACCAAAUCAGAGAGUAGUGGGACCUCAGCUCGGAGCAACUCUGGUGUCUCCCAUCAGAAUAGUUCCACAAGUGAAGGCGAUAGAUCUGUUUGCAGCCAAAGCAGCAGCAAUUCCUCUCAGAUUUCAGAAGAAUGUGGAGAAGACUAGAGAGCCAUGGUCAGUUCUUUAAUGAUUGUGUAUUCGUGUGGACUGCAUCUGUUAGUAAUGAAGUAAAAUCUGUAUCUUAGGUGACUCUUAAUUAAAAGUCUGGUCUAAGGUAUAUGACUUCGGGCCUUCUGGCUUUCUAGGAGCUGCACACCAAACAGUAAUGGAGAUAGUAUGCAGUAAAAAGACCUCAUUCACUAGUUGUAUUGGUAUUGGAAGGUUGGACAUAAGCACAGUUUAAGUGUAUAAAAAUUAUUUUGUAGUUUAAGAAUAAUAAAGAUGUUUAGUUUCCUGAGCUUGAACUGAAAUAAUCAGGGAUGUUUGUAAUUUGCCAGAUGACAUUUUUAAAUUAUUUGUUUUUGAGAAUGGUUCAUUGGAUACCAGAGCAAAAUCUAUAUUCUGUAAAUGGGCUACCUUUAUAUAUUGUGGAAAGCAAUAAUAUAAGUGAGUUGUAAACUUUGUAAACUAAUGCUUACAAAAAAGUGAGCCAAAAAGUAGAAUAAAUAAAUUUCUGAAAUACAUCAUACUAGAUGAUUUGGUAAUUUCCUAAAAUGGUUUGUUUUAAGCAAAUUCUUUAAAUAAUAGUAAUCUUUUGAUGUGGAGGAGUGCGUGCACUCAUAGACAUAUAAUUUCAACUUCUUGAGAGGCCAAGUCAAGAAGAGCUGAGGACUUUGAGUGUUUGACUAUAGAGCAGUUUGAGAAAAGUAAACAGGUUCUGAGCUAUAAGUCUUAUGACAGUGGUGGGGCAUGUCUUUAAUCCCAACACUCAGAAGGCAGAAGCAGGCAGAUCUCUGAGGAACCCUGCCAAGAAAAGGGUAGGUGAUAGAGUGCUUACUUAGCAUACAGGGCCCUAAGUUGAAUUUCCAGUACCUUCCAUAAAACAAAAAUAAAUGAAAACUGAUGAUCUAUGUUCUUGGUGUUUGAGAGAUAGGGUGUUAUAUGGUUCUGGCUGGUCUUGAACUUGGAAAGUAGCGUUGCGUUCCUUUCUCUGUUUCAUGUUGGGGUUACAGCUGUUUGACCACUCCUAUGGUUAUAGUGUUUAUUUGUACAACAUGCUCUUAAUAAAAAUUUAAAGAUCCCCGUG
rnacentral:lncRNA from 1 species